UGUAUCCGACAUUCAUUUGUUUUCUUCAUAACUUCUUUUACUGAUUUUCAAGACCAUCUUUGGCAAGAUGAAAAUACUAAUUGAUUUUCGAGAAAACGCAUUCUAUAGUUUUGGCUAAGAAGUUGGAUUCUGUUAAGGAAAAAUCCUCACAUGUUCUUACAAAAGUUGGUGCUUUGAUUCUCAAUGGAUUGUGUUACUUUUUUUUCAAGGUAGGGGGUUUUUCCUCUUGAGUUUAAUUUGGUGUAUCAGUCUUUUCUUCCCUAAUUUGAUUUAAAUAAAUGUUUUCAUCUCAUUUCUAUGUUGUUAAUUCUACAUCAUUUCAAUGUCCUGAUAAUGCUUAGCAUUUUUUUAAUUCAAGUCAUUCAUGCAAAUCAAAGAUUGAUUAUUUAGAAUGUUUUCUGGACCAUGAAUUUGAGAAGUUUCAUACAAAAGUUCUCUCAUAAUUUAUGAAUUCUUUUGAAGCUAUAUAUGGUGUUGGACUUGGUUAAUCCUCAUUAUUUUUGUAUUACCCUUGCAUAUAUUUCUAAAUCAUUUUGGGAAGAUUCGAAAAUGUUUUGCUCUACGUCAUUCCAUUCCCAUUUUCUACCACUAAUCUAAGACCUGUUUUGGAUUUUCAAACUAGUCUUUUACCUGUUUGUUUAAAUGGUCCAGAGAACUAUGUGUUUGAAACUCCACUAGUAUUCAAAAUGUGAUUGGAACUAUCUGUUAUGUUUUCCUUAUUUUAUUCUUCUCACUACCAACUUAAAAUUUAAAUGCCAAGUAUGGGCUAGUCUGUUACAUUUUCAAACAUUAGAAAAUAUGAGAUUUGUUCGGCGGUAUGUGAAACUUGCAAUGAAUGGAUUGCCGAGUUCAUUACUAUUUGCUAUAUGUAUCCUUAAUUACUUACUGUUUCCAGUAUCGUAUUUUCGGGUAAGUGAUUUUCUCUCUAUGUUGAGUUCAUGUGUUUAAUAAACAAAUCUAAUUUUUCUUGCGAUUGCUGCCAACGCAUUAGUGCAAGCUCUAGUUAUGGAUUUGCGAGGUUUUCAUAACUUGGUUUGUGGGGGUUUCCCUAAUAACGACUGAUUUGAUUCGGAAACUAGUGGACUCUACUUUAGGACUGUCGGGACCACUGGGGCACCCCACCAUCUCGGUGGCUAUCCGGAAGAUCGUUGCGGCAACGAUGGAUGGUAACCAGAACUACCCUGACGUUGGCACUGGCCUUUCUCGAUGCAGUAAGUUGGAAAUGCUUACGAUAAUAGAGCUACGGACACAAUAUCAUGGUACAUAUUGUAGUCCUUGUAUAUAUAUAUAUCAUGCGCUAUUUGGGGGAAUUAUAUUUGGAUAGUUUAUGUUUGCUGUUCCCAUGUCUUUUUACCAUAUUUUAUUGUACAUAUGUUCGGAUAUGGUGUAAAACUUUUAGGUGGUAUGUAAGUGGAAAACUGGUUGGUGUCGAUGCUCGAAAGAUCUGAUUUUUUUUAUUGUCUAAAGGAUUAGAUUUUGAAACUUAUUUUGUCGUCAAAUAUAAAAAUGAAUUAGCAUGUCUUACUUGUACACAUAUCUAUUUUCUUGGAAUAUCUUUAUUGUCGAAACU